CAGUGAUGAUGUAGAUUUGAACAAGAUCACAGAGGAGGGGGACGUCAGAGAUGUUGAAGGAGAGAGGAGAACAACAUCUAAAGCCAGGGCUCAGCAGAGGAGGAAGCUCUCAGAAGGCAGCAGUGGCAGCAGUGCUGACGGCACUGAGCCGGACAGUGCGACUGGUGAAGAUUCAGAAAGUGAUCCUGAUUUUGAUGAGAGUGAGGAAAGCGAUGAAGACUUUGGUGUGAGAAGAGGUAAAGAAACAAAGAAGAAACCAGUGCAGAAGAAACCCAAAGCAGAAAAGAAGGAAAGGAAAUCAAAACCCAAACGUGAGGAGGCAUCAGACCCAGCUCCAGCUGCCAUCAAAUCAGGAUCUCCAGCCUUACCCCAGCCAGUUGGUCUUCCUUCCGAGGCCACUAGGAAACCAGCAAAAAUAUGCAGCCCUUCAGCAGAAAGCAAGAGGCCCAAGUGGGUCCCCCCAGCCGCCUCCGGGAGCAGAAACUCUAGCAGCAGCUCAUGGGCAGGAACCCCCGCCAGGUCCCCGAGUCAGAGCCUGCGUCUGGGCCUCUCCCGAUUAGCACCAGUUAAGAGUUUGCAUCCAAGUACCACAAGCAGCCAAGUACGGUAGCAGGAAAGGACCUCUGAGACCCUUGGGACUGCAGAGCGGGUUGUCAUAUUCAGCGUCCACAUAAAAGAACCUUUAAUGGAUCACAUGAAGGAGCUCUGUGUGAUUCUGGUCUCAUCAAAACCUUCUGCCCUUCAGCAAAGAUUCUGGGGCCUCUCCUUGUGCCACUCCUGAAGAGUGAAGAGUGUGUUGUGUUUUCUUAUGUUUCAUAAGUCACCGUCACUCGGGCUUUGCGGCACAUCGGCAAUC
rnacentral:lncRNA from 1 species